rnacentral:rRNA from 1 species
AGUGAACGCUGGCGGUAGACCUAACACAUGCAAGUCGAACGGCAGCACAGUAAGAGCUUGCUCUUACGGGUGGCGAGUGGCGGACGGGUGAGGAAUACAUCGGAAUCUACUUUUUCGUGGGGGAUAACGUAGGGAAACUUACGCUAAUACCGCAUACGACCUACGGGUGAAAGCAGGGGAUCUUCGGACCUUGCGCGAUUGAAUGAGCCGAUGUCGGAUUAGCUAGUUGGCGGGGUAAAGGCCCACCAAGGCGACGAUCCGUAGCUGGUCUGAGAGGAUGAUCAGCCACACUGGAACUGAGACACGGUACAGACUCCUACGGGAGGCAGCAGUGGGGAAUAUUGGACAAUGGGCGCAAGCCUGAUCCAGCCAUACCGCGUGGGUGAAGAAGGCCUUCGGGUUGUAAAGCCCUUUUGUUGGGAAAGAAAAGCAGCAGGUUAAUACCCCGCUGUUCUGACGGUACCCAAAGAAUAAGCACCGGCUAACUUCGUG